UAAUGUAACGAACCAACUCAUAAAGGAUCUAUCGAAAGGCCCUUUCAGCUCAGUCAUUACCUAUCCAUGGUUUUUUGUAAAUGUGUUUAAAUUCAACACAGUUAGGCAUAAUUAUAGUACAUCAAUGAUGAAUAAUAGAGUGCGUUGAAAAGGUUCAAGAUAUAAUGUGGAUGAGAGUGAUUAUUAUAGUCGAUUGUUUGAAGUUAUAUAGUUGGAGUAUUCGAUUUUGCUAAUGAAGAAGACUGUAUUAUUCAAGUGUGAAUGGUUUGAUCUGACACUAUAUUUGGGUAUAAAGGUUCAUCCUGAGUACAAGCUUAUGGAUGUAAACCAUAAGCUCGAAUUUAAUCGUUAUGAACCAUUUAUACUAUCAGUUCAAGAAAAUCAAGUAAAGAUUAUAUUGCGGCAAGAGCAGCUGGUGGGCCAUUUCCAAAAUUAAAGUGAGAUUUGGAAUGGAAGUUCUAGAAUCAUCAUCUAAAGCUCCUUUAGGUCUACCAUCACAAUUUCAAGAGGAUCACUUGAACAUAUAUAUUCUAUUAUAGUUAGACAAAGAUCUAGAUUCCUUGAAUAGUGCAGAUGGUGGGUUAAUAUAAUUGCAUAUGAAAAUGCCAAAAGCAAUGAUGACUUUUAACUUGCGUCGGAAACAAAUAACCAAAAUGAUGAGUCAGAUGAUAGUGAUACAUAGAUAUAUCAGAUAUUUUUAUAUAAUCUAAUCAUAUGUAUCAUAACAUUAUAUGAUUUAUGCUAUUUUUAUUCAUUUUAAUUGUUUAUUUUAAGCUUUUGAUACGUUUUUCUAAAAUAAUAUAUGAUUUUGGUGAUAUUUGGAAAAUAAAAUAACUCAGAUGGUAGACAGAUGCUCUCCUAAGGAGCGUUGAGCAUGGCCUCCUCCACCAACCCUAUCCUCUAUUAACUCACCAUCCCACACACAUACACCGUCACUUUCUCCAUCCUCUUUUACACUAACUUCUUCUACACCGACCCCAAACUUGAGGCCACUAUUGCCUCUACCACCUUCCAUUACACCCACAACACAACCACCCACUACUUCUGUUCCACCACCCACUACACCCUCUAGGACUUCACUGGACUACACCCUCCAGGACCUCACUGGACUACACCUUGUGGGACCUCACUAGUCUUAUCUUCACUAGGAAGUUCUAAGUCCUAUAUCUGGAUUGAGAUUGAGAGGUUGCUACCAUCUCAUACAUGCUAUGCGAGGAUCUCCAAGAUCUUCAAUAAUGCCAUAAAGUACGAGGCUAUGUGUGGAGGUUUGUGCCUAAGGAGACAAAUGAAUCGUACUUCGCUAAGUUUAAGAAGUUUUUCAACUGGGAGCCUAGGCACGAGGAACAGCUCCGCAAGGCUUGGGAUAAGCAGGCAGUCGAAAGAUACCGCGACAUAGUAUCUAGCUAAAAGAGAAGUGGGAAGAGGCCUCAGUUCGUACAGGAGGAGACCUGAGCCCACUAGACAAAUUAUUGGAAGAUGCCUGAGGUAAAGACAGCCUUUGAAACCCACAACAAGAAUCGUCUAAGCGAGGUUCUUGGCCUUGGUAUAGGCCUUGAUUGUCACACUACUAGGUUGAGAUCGACCAUUGAUCACAAACGGGUCAUUUGAGUUGGGUCACGAUCCUACUGCUUAUGAGAUAUUCAAGCGAUUGCACAGCAAACCCGACAGGCAGUUCAUUAACUACAAGUCCUACUAGAUUGUUAUUUUAUGGAGGCACAGGCAGCUGCUGCAUCUCAGUCCAUGAGGGUCCUUUCGGACCUCCACUGGUUGAUAUGUCACAAUUAUUUGUCGACGUCCUCGGCAAUGAGAAGAAGCAUCGCAUCUAUAGCUUAGAGUAAGAAGUGUGCACCUUCAAUUAGCCCCGUGGCUUUGGUAGUUCGAGCGACACUUCUUUUGAUCAGUCAUGGGAGACACUUAAGUACGAGCUUCGAGCAGAGCUGGAACUAGAGUACGAUGCCAGUAUAGCCGAGCUUGAGCGAACAAUGCAACACAUGGCACACAUUUUGGUGCUAGUAUCGUUUCACCACCUACGUGUACUCCACCAGCCGGUGCUUCUAGCACUAGUAUGUUCGAUCCUCCAGUUGACAAUAAUGACAACUCCUCCUCCUCCUCCACUACCUCUGAUUAGAAACU